rnacentral:rRNA from 1 species
AGUUUGGAUCCUGGCUCAGGAUGAACGCUAGCGGCAGGCUUAACACAUGCAAGUCGAGGGGUAGAGGCUUUCGGGCCUUGAGACCGGCGCACGGGUGCGUAACGCGUAUGCAAUCUGCCUUUCACAGAGGGAUAGCCCAGAGAAAUUUGGAUUAAUACCUCAUAGCAUUAAGAAUCGGCAUCGGUUUUUAAUUAAAGUCACAACGGUGAAAGAUGAGCAUGCGUCCCAUUAGCUAGUUGGUAGGGUAACGGCUUACCAAGGCAACGAUGGGUAGGGGUCCUGAGAGGGAGAUCCCCCACACUGGUACUGAGACACGGACCAGACUCCUACGGGAGGCAGCAGUGAGGAAUAUUGGUCAAUGGGCGCAAGCCUGAACCAGCCAUGCCGCGUGCAGGAUGACGGUCCUAUGGAUUGUAAACUGCUUUUGUACGGGAAGAAACACUGAUUCGUGAAUCAGCUUGACGGUACCGUAAGAAUAAGGAUCGGCUAACUCCGUGCCAGCAGCCGCGGUAAUACGGAGGAUCCAAGCGUUAUCCGGAAUCAUUGGGUUUAAAGGGUCUGUAGGCGGUCUUGUAAGUCAGUGGUGAAAGCCCAUCGCUCAACGGUGGAACGGCCAUUGAUACUGCAGGACUUGAAUUAUUGGGAAGUAACUAGAAUAUGUAGUGUAGCGGUGAAAUGCUUAGAGAUUACAUGGAAUACCAAUUGCGAAGGCAGGU